rnacentral:rRNA from 1 species
AGUGAACGCUGGCGGUAGGCCUAACACAUGCCAGUCGAACGGCAGCACAGUAAGAGCUUGCUCUUACGGGUGGCGAGUGGCGGACGGGUGAGGAAUAAAUCGGAAUCUACUUUUUCGUGGGGGAUAACGUAGGGAAACUUACGCUAAUACCGCAUACGACCUACGGGUGAAAGCAGGGGAUCUUCGGACCUUGCGCGAUUGAAUGAGCCGAUGUCGGAUUAGCUAGUUGGCGGGGUAAAGGCCCACCAAGGCGACGAUCCGUAGCUGGUCUGAGAGGAUGAUCAGCCACACAGGAGCUGAGACACGGUCCAGACACCUACGGGAGGCAGCAGGGGGGAAGAUUGGACAAGGGGCGCAAGCCUGAUCCAGCCAUACCGCGUGGGUGAAGAAGGCCUGCGGGUUGUAAAGCCCUUUUGUUGGGAAAGAAAAGCAGCGGGUUAAGACCCCGCUGUUCUGACGGGACCAAAGGAAUAAGCACGGGCUAACUUCGU